GCGGUAAUACGUAGGGUGCAAGCGUUAAUCGGAAUUACUGGGCGUAAAGCGUGCGCAGGCGGUUUGCUAAGACCGAUGUGAAAUCCCCGGGCUCAACCUGGGAACUGCAUUGGUGACUGGCAGGCUAGAGUAUGGCAGAGGGGGGUAGAAUUCCACGUGUAGCAGUGAAAUGCGUAGAGAUGUGGAGGAAUACCGAUGGCGAAGGCAGCCCCCUGGGCCAAUACUGACGCUCAUGCACGAAAGCGUGGGGAGCAAACAGGAUU
rnacentral:rRNA from 1 species